rnacentral:rRNA from 1 species
AGAAUCAACGCUGGCGGCGUGCCUAACACAUGCAAGUCGAACGAGAAAGUGGAGCAAUCCAUGAGUAAAGUGGCGACCGGGUGAGUAACACGUGACUAACCUACCUUCAAGUGGGGGAUAACCUCGGGAAACCGGGGCUAAUACCGCAUAACAUCUUUGGAGUGGAAAUUCUGGAGAUCAAAGGAGCAAUUCGCUGGAAGAGGGGGUCGCGGCUGAUUAGCUAGUUGGCGGGGUAAUGGCCCACCAAGGCUUUGAUCGGUAGCCGGCCUGAGAGGGCGCACGGCCACACUGGAACUGAAACACGGUCCAGACUCCUACGGGAGGCAGCAGUGGGGAAUUUUGCGCAAUGGGGGAAACCCUGACGCAGCAACGCCGCGUGGAGGAUGAAGUCCUUGGGACGUAAACUCCUUUCGACCGGGAAGAUGAUGACGGUACCGGUGGAAGAAGCCCGGCUAACUUCGCGCCAGCAGCCGC